rnacentral:lncRNA from 1 species
UUUGAUAACUAUUUAAACCGCCGGGUCGAUGCCACUGCUGGUGGACGUUUCGUCCCCGAGGGUAUCACCAGCCCAGUAGUCAACAUUUCGGUGUUUGACAUGAAUAUCAAUAAUGUGGUCAUUUUUAUAAAUUUCCUGUUUACAAAACUUUGAAUUUUUCGAAAAACUAAGAAUUUUCUUAUUCCAGGCAUAGAUUACCUUAGCCGUAUUUGGCACAACUUUUUGAAAUUUUGGAUCCUCAAUGCUCUUCAACUUUGUAUAUGUUUGGCUUGAUCAAUAUUUCGAUUUGAGCGUCACUGAUGAGUCUUAUGUAGACGAAACGCGCUUCUG